GAUCAUGGCUCAGGAUGAACGCUAGCGACAGGCUUAACACAUGCAAGUCGAGGGGCAGCAUAAAAGUAGCAAUACUUGGUGGCGACCGGCGCACGGGUGAGUAACGCGUAUGCAACCUACCUAUCAGAGGGGAAUAACCCGGCGAAAGUCGGACUAAUACCGCAUAAAACAGGGGCACCGCAUGGUGAUAUUUGUUAAAGAAAUUCGCUGAUAGAUGGGCAUGCGUUCCAUUAGGUAGUUGGUGAGGUAACGGCUCACCAAGCCGACGAUGGAUAGGGAACUGAGAGGUUGGUCCCCCACACUGGUACUGAGACACGGACCAGACUCCUACGGGAGGCAGCAGUGAGGAAUAUUGGUCAAUGGGCGGGAGCCUGAACCAGCCAAGUCGCGUGGAAAAGGAAGAAGGAUCUAUGGUUACGUAAACUUCUUUUGCAGGGGAAUAAAGUGCAGGACGUGUCCUGUUUUGUAUGUACCCUGAGAAUAAGGAUCGGCUAACUCCGUGCCAGCCGCAGC
rnacentral:rRNA from 1 species